rnacentral:rRNA from 1 species
UACGGAGGGGGUUAGCGUUGUUCGGAAUUACUGGGCGUAAAGCGCGCGUAGGCGGAUUAGAAAGUUGGGGGUGAAAUCCCGGGGCUCAACCUCGGAACUGCCUCCAAAACUGCUAGUCUAGAGUUCGAGAGAGGUGAGUGGAAUUCCGAGUGUAGAGGUGAAAUUCGUAGAUAUUCGGAGGAACACCAGUGGCGAAGGCGGCUCACUGGCUCGAUACUGACGCUGAGGUGCGAAAGUGUGGGGAGCAAACAGU